rnacentral:rRNA from 1 species
AACGAACGCUGGCGGCAGGCUUAACACAUGCAAGUCGAACGCAUCGCAAGAUGAGUGGCAGACGGGUGAGUAACGCGUGGGAACAUACCCUUUUCUACGGAAUAGCUCUGGGAAACUGGAAUUAAUACCGUAUACGCCCUACGGGGGAAAGAUUUAUCGGGGAAGGAUUGGCCCGCGUUGGAUCAACUAGUUGGUGGGGUAAAGGCCUACCAAGGCGACGAUCCAUAGCUGGUCUGAGAGGAUGAUCAGCCACAUUGGGACUGAGACACGGCCCAAACUCCUACGGGAGGCAGCAGUGGGGAAUAUUGGACAAUGGGCGCAAGCCUGAUCCAGCCAUGCCGCGUGAGUGAUGAAGGCCUUAGGGUUGUAAAGCUCUUUCACCGAUGAAGAUAAUGACGGUAGUCGGAGAAGAAGCCCCGGCUAACUUCGUGCCAGCCGCCGCCGUAA